GCUAAACUUCAGCGUCACAUCACUGAAUCACUAAACAAGCUGAGCAGGAAGUCGUCCUGAAGCCAGUUCUUUCCUGAAAAGGAAUGAAGGAUCUUUCACAGCAGUUUCACACCGAAAGUCAGCAAGCGAUGAAUUUUUCUGGUUUUAUCAUAUGGACUAACUUCAUGUUCUGCCUUCCUUUGACCUUACUGGUCAUCUGUUGGUUGUGUUGCUUGGUGAAAAAGGAGCAUGUGAUCUAUUUCACUAACCUCCUCAUUGCCAAUCUCGUCCACAUCAGCAUAAUGUUCUCCUGGCAGUUGAACAAAGGACGUGUAAUUGACCAAGAUGACAGUAUUUGCAUAGCUGGUUUGAUGGCUAGUUGGUAUUUCAAGACAUACAUUGCUAUUGAAAGGUGUUUUGUCAUCACCUGCCCAAAGUUGAAGUGCAGCAAACAAACUCAGGGAUCCAUGCUGGUUUCUCUCUUAAUUUGGAUCUUUUGUAUUGCAACUGUAGUUCCUAUAGUAGUCUCCAAGAAGUUUUUUAUCCUCUAUAUUUUUGCCCUCCUUCCAGCUCUCCUGUUCAUCCUGUUUUUAGUAUGGACCUUCCACGCCUUGGCUGCUGACACCUUAGUGCCCACUGAGGAAAAACAAAGAAUUGUACGAAUUUUCCUUUUGUUCUUCUUUAAUUAUUUUCUGAUGAUCCUUCCUGGUGUCAUCUGUUCUAUUGGAGUAUUUUUGGCUCAACCUUGCUUUCAAGUUAUCAUUGAUAAACUUUUGACUUUGUUGCUUCUCGGCCCUUUUCUGGAUUUGAUUCUGGUUUGUUUCAUGCAUAUAAGAUGCAGAUUCGACAGCACUGCACCAGAUGUAGCUGAACAUCGGCCGCCAGGCUGGGUGAUGUCGCAAAUACUAAGGGACAGAGAAAAUAGGGUGUAAACUGUGUGAAAGAUGUGGAGAAAAUAUGCAAACAUAAACAUUUACAAAUAUUGCUGUAAAGGAGACAACUAAAAGUUUUACUUGAUGUAUAUAAGAAGUGUGUUCUCAGCUAAAGUUUCUUUGGUUGUUGACCACCUGAAACCCAGUUACUAGUAGUUACUCUUCACAGGAAGCAUCUUAAUGACGAUUUAUGAAUCAACUUUAAAAAAUGAAAAAAAAAAAACUAUAAAAGCUUGUUAAUAGGACUACUUUUGUACUUCCGUGCAAUAAAAUUUGCAUUUCUUAUCUGAUCUAGUGAUGCGUAACAAUGUAAAGGUAAAACCAUGAACCACCGUUCGACUUAUUGAGCUGUAUUUUUGCUACACAGACUGUUGUUCAGAUCAUAACUUUAUGCAUGACAGCUUUUACUGUCAUAGUCUGUGGAUUUUGUCAGUUCAUUUUUGAGCCGUUAAUAUUUGGUAUUGUUGAGUUUUGAUUACUAUUUGACUGGGUUUCCUUAUUUUAUUUUAAGAUUAUUCUAGCAUUCCGAGUUCUGUUUUAGAGUUAUAUUUUUUGAAUUAUGUAGUCUCAUAAUUUGGUAUUUAUGUCUUUGUUUUACUUGACAUUAGUAAAAAAAAAAAAUUUUGCGUGAAACACUUCUUCUGUGUUUCUCUGUUUUGCUGAUUCUUUUUGUUUGUUUAGUUACUUCAUGUUUUAUUUUUUGAGUUCUUUGUCUCUUGUGCUUUGUCUUUAGUUUUACUUCCCUGUGACUUGUUCUCUAGAUUGAGUUCAGCUAUGUCUUGGUACAUUUAUGUUUCCAUUCUCCCUGACUGUCUUUUUCAUGUAUUUAAAGCCUCAGUUUGCUUGGGUUCUCUGUCAUGGGAGACUGGGUUCUGGCCUUUCUCUGGUAACUUACUUAUAACUAUUUACUAACUUACUAUAACUAACUUACUUACUCGAGUGUUAAAGUGUUCUCCUGCUUUGGGUUUAUUAUCAUCUUCACAUAAUCUUUUCCUGUUUAAUCUGGAAAAGAUUAUGACUGUAAAAAGAAAGAAAAAAACUGCAAAACCUCUCAACAAACGAAGUAUCUUAUUUUUUAUGAAAAACUCUUAACUCUGUCAAGGGAAAACCUGCUUUGAUAUAAGAUUAAAACAUGAUUUCUUGUUAUUUAAAUGCUCCACAAGAACAUUGUACUAGGUUAUUCAGUUUAGUGCAUGUUAAACUGGUUGGUUUGCAGUGUUGUUGUGCAGUUUACAGUAAUGAGCAGUCUGUGGUGUUCAUGGUAAAAUGCAGAUCAAGGACAGAUCCAACGAUUUUGAUGUAUGUGAAGUGUUGCCACAAGAGUCAGGGGUUUUGUAACUGUAGUUUUGAGAAAAGAAAAUCUGUCUUCUCUGAAAAACUGUAUUUGAGUGUUAACCACUUGACUUUGAAUUACUGUGUGCUGCAUUUUUAGAUUUUAAAUGUCAACUUCUUUCUAUAUUUUCUGUGUCUGAGUCUGUCAUGUGUGUUACUUUCAGUCAAACCUUGUAUUUUCCCCUCUGUUUUUGUCUUCUGAUUUCAAAUCUACAUAAGAACAACGUUGAAAUGUAUUUCCCACCAGCUGCUUUACCAACACACAGGUUCUUUACUGAAGAAAGUAGUGAACGAUUCUAUUAAAUAAUUACAUCA